GAUGAACGCUGGCGGCGUGCCUAAUACAUGCAAGUCGAGCGAACAGACGAGGAGCUUGCUCCUCUGACGUUAGCGGCGGACGGGUGAGUAACACGUGGAUAACCUACCUAUAAGACUGGGAUAACUUCGGGAAACCGGAGCUAAUACCGGAUAAUAUAUUGAACCGCAUGGUUCAAUAGUGAAAGACGGUUUUGCUGUCACUUAUAGAUGGAUCCGCGCCGCAUUAGCUAGUUGGUAAGGUAACGGCUUACCAAGGCGACGAUGCGUAGCCGACCUGAGAGGGUGAUCGGCCACACUGGAACUGAGACGCGGUCCAGACUCCUACGGGAGGCAGCAGUAGGGAAGCUUCCGCAAUGGGCGAAAGCCUGACGGAGCAACGCCGCGUGAGUGAUGAAGGUCUUCGGAUCGUAAAACUCUGUUAUUAGGGAAGAACAAAUGUGUAAGUAACUAUGCACGUCUUGACGGUACCUAAUCAGAAAGCCACGGCUAACUACGUG
rnacentral:rRNA from 1 species